CAAAAACGGUUUCAUUCACGUAUCUAUCCCUAUUCCAAUUCCAAAAACGGUUUCACACGUUCUCUUUUUUCUACCGAACUGUUUCUAUUCCAAUUCCAAAACGCGGUCUCUCUUUAUAUCGAUUUGUUUCUUCUUCCUCUCAAUCUUCAUACAAAACUCUCAUCCACUCUCGAUCGUGAACGGUGGUGCAACCUCUUUCUCAGAUGAAAGGGCGCCGAUUGUUGGUUGAAGGGUUAUGUAAUUGAUGAUUUUGUCGUCGUCGCUCAUCUGUUUCACGAGACAGAAGAAUCAUGACCUGAACUGCAACAACAAUAACUCACGGCACAUGGUUGUUCGAUUAAUCUUCUACCGUCAUUGCAUGACCUAACGCAUCUCAGUGAAUUAAAGGUAUCAGCUUUCUGGAAUGACAACAUCGGCUUAUGCUGUUGCUGAGAAAUAUAUGUCAAUGCGUUAAAUCAUGAUACCAGAGACCUUCCAGUCGGUUUUGAUUUUUCUGAUCGGGAAACACCGACCAAUCAUCAGGUCUCAGAAAGCAUUAACUGUGAAUGGAAAGCCAAUAAAUAAAUUGCCUAAUAGGAAAAAGGCAUUCAUCAUGAUGAUUGGAUUUACAUUUGUGAUUUUAAUGCAAUACAAUAUACAGAGUGGGGAUUGAAAUUCCAAAAAUUGAAGUUCGUUAUGAGAAUUUGUCAGUGGAAGGAGAUGAGUAUGUUGGAAGUAAAGCGCUUCCUACUCUUCUUAAUGUCAGCGUCAAUACUUUCAAGAGCAUUUUGGGAUUGUUUCAUCUUUGCAUCGACGAAGAAAAGGGAGAUUUAGAUUCUCAAAAAUGUUUGUGGGAUUGUGAAACCCUCAAGUGUACUUUCUAUUGAGGUGGAGGACAUCUCGGGCAACGGUGGCAUCUAUAUUCAAUCUGAUGGAGAGCAUUUGGGAUUUGGGAUUCCUUCUGAUGGCAUCUAUAAGUUUUGCCGUCCAAGUUAAGACUGUUGAUUUUC